UACGGAGGUGGCAAGCGUUGUUCGGAAUUACUGGGCGUAAAGGGCGCGUAGGCGGCUUUGCAAGUCAGAUGUGAAAGCCCCGGGCUCAACUCGGGAACUGCAUCUGAAACUGCUUAGCUUGAGUCCUGGAGGGGGUAGUGGAAUUCCCAGUGUAGCGGUGAAAUGCGUAGAUAUUGGGAGGAACACCGGUGGCGAAGGCGGCUACCUGGACAGUGACUGACGCUGAUGCGCGAAAGCUAGGGGAGCAAACGGG
rnacentral:rRNA from 1 species